rnacentral:rRNA from 1 species
UAAGCCGUUGAAGGUGAAUCGUAAGGUUUGCUGGAGGUAUCAGAAGUGCGAAUGCUGACAUGAGUAACGACAAAGGGGGUGAAAAACCUCCUCGCCGGAAGACCAAGGGUUCCUGUCCAACGUUAAUCGGGGCAGGGUGAGUCGACCCCUAAGGUGAGGCCGAAAGGCGUAAUCGAUGGGAAACGGGUUAAUAUUCCCGUACUUCUGACUAUUGCGAUGGGGGGACGGAGAAGGCUAGGUGGGCCAGGCGACGGUUGUCCUGGUUCAAGUGCGUAGGCUUGAGAGUUAGGUAAAUCCGGCUCUCUCUAAGGCUGAGACACGACGUCGAGCUACUACGGUAGUGAAGUCAUUGAUGCCAUGCUUCCAGGAAAAGCCUCUAAGCUUCAGAUAGUCAGGAAUCGUACCCCAAACCGACACAGGUGGUCGGGUAGAGAAUACCAAGGCGCUUGAGAGAACUCGGGUGAAGGAACUAGGCAAAAUGGUACCGUAACUUCGGGAGAAGGUACGCUCUUGAUGGUGAAGUCCCUCGCGGAUGGAGCUGACGAGAGUCGCAGAUACCAGGUGGCUGCAACUGUUUAUUAAAAACACAGCACUGUGCAAAAUCGCAAGAUGACGUAUACGGUGUGACGCCUGCCCGGUGCCGGAAGGUUAAUUGAUGGGGUUAGCGCAAGCGAAGCUCUUGAUCGAAGCCCCGGUAAACGGCGGCCGUAACUAUAACGGUCCUAAGGUAGCGAAAUUCCUUGUCGGGUAAGUUCCGACCUGCACGAAUGGCGUAAUGAUGGCCACGCUGUCUCCACCCGAGACUCAGUGAAAUUGAAAUCGCUGUGAAGAUGCAGUGUACCCGCGGCUAGACGGAAAGACCCCGUGAACCUUUACUACAGCUUGGCACUGAACAUUGAACCUACAUGUGUAGGAUAGGUGGGAGGCUAUGAAGACGUGACGCCAGUUGCGUUGGAGCCGUCCUUGAAAUACCACCCUUGUAUGUUUGAUGUUCUAACUUAG